rnacentral:rRNA from 1 species
UACGAAGGGGGCUAGCGUUGUUCGGAAUUACUGGGCGUAAAGCGCACGUAGGCGGACUACUAAGUCAGGGGUGAAAUCCCGGGGCUCAACCCCGGAACUGCCUUUGAUACUGAUAGUCUCGAGUCCGGAAGAGGUGAGUGGAAUUCCGAGUGUAGAGGUGAAAUUCGUAGAUAUUCGGAGGAACACCAGUGGCGAGGGCGGCUCACUGGUCCGGUACUGACGCUGAGGUGCGAAAGCGUGUGGAGCAAACAGG